UAGGCUUCAUGUGGCCCAUCUACUCAGUCUUGAGAAGCUCUUUUAAAAACCUCCGUUUGCCUUAGCGUUGUUGUUCUCUCUUAGUGGUACAUAAGCAUCGCAUAGCACCUCAUGUUUCACGCUUCAAAUUCAGAUUUUCUUUGCUGCCAGAGAAGGCCACCUCCAGCAAAACUGGAGCAUAGGGGAACACACAGAAGAAGGGAAGGUGUGGAAAAUUUUUUUAAUGGGUACAAUGUUACCUCAUUUCCAGUUCUAGUUUGUGUCCCCUUCUAAUACCUUCUCAAGAAUACUUGGCCCAACUCCUUAAAUUUGUUUAGGAUUAAUUCUCCUUAAUGCUAAAAUACACCUUGCCCAGUAGAACAUUUCUCUUUUGGUUAAAAAAAAAAAGUUUCUAUUAAGUGUA
rnacentral:lncRNA from 1 species